ACCCCGGCCCUUUUCAGGGCCACACACAUAUCCCAGAAAGCGGUGU
rfam:Branchiostoma floridae genomic scaffold BRAFLscaffold_316, whole genome shotgun sequence.